GAUCCCACUACUCCUGGUCCCAGGCUCUCAAGCCGCAGAAAACAGGCUUGCCCCCUCUUCAACGUGACAUCCCUUCAAAUAUUUAAACAUGGCUCUCAUGUCACCCCUUAACCUUCUCUUCUUCAAACUGAGAUGCUGAGUGUUAUAAGAAAUUUAGAAAGGGGGAUGCUUUAAGAGUAGCUUUUUGGUCUUUGUGUGAGGUACACUUCCGAAGAACUGAGAAUGCGUAUGUGGGGCUUAAUGGAAGCCAUAUUGAUUAUUCUGUGCAAUGUGCCUUUUUUGUAAUUUAAGGUGUGUGCAACAGUCAUGUGCUUCUAACUUUCCAGUUGAAUUAGUUUCCCGUUUUACUUUUGUGGCCCUCAAAAGUGAUCAGGAGGGUGAGUUGAGAUGUUCCUGGUCCAGAUUCGACAUUGGCCCGUGAAUUCUGAACGUCGUCACUUCGACAUUUGCCCAGGCCUCAUCUCAUAUAUUAACUGAUAUAUUUGUGGAGGAAAAUGCUCUAUAUCGCAACCGCCAGUGUUUAAGGUAUGUGUUAAAACUAGGAUUGCUCUAAGUUGGGCAAUGAAGAAGAAGAAGAAGAAGAAGAAGAAGAAGAAGAA